UACGUAGGGCGCAAGCGUUAUCCGGAAUUAUUGGGCGUAAAGAGCUCGUAGGCGGUUUGUCGCGUCUGCCGUGAAAGUCCGGGGCUCAACUCCGGAUCUGCGGUGGGUACGGGCAGACUAGAGUGAUGUAGGGGAGACUGGAAUUCCUGGUGUAGCGGUGAAAUGCGCAGAUAUCAGGAGGAAUACCCAUAGCGAAGGCAGCUCGCUGGGACGUUACUGACGCUGAGGCGCGAAAGCGUGGGGAGCGAACAGG
rnacentral:rRNA from 1 species